UACAGAGGUCUCAAGCGUUGUUCGGAUUCAUUGGGCGUAAAGGGUGCGUAGGCGGCGCGGUAAGUCGGGUGUGAAAUCUUGGAGCUUAACUCCGAAACUGCAUUCGAUACUGCCGUGCUUGAGGACUGGAGAGGAGACUGGAAUUUACGGUGUAGCGGUGAAAUGCGUAGAUAUCGUAAGGAAGACCAGUGGCGAAGGCGGCCUGCUGGGCUGUUGCUGACGCUGAGGCGCGACAGCGUGGGGAGCAAACAGG
rnacentral:rRNA from 1 species